rnacentral:tRNA from 1 species
GCCCGGGUGGCGGAAUGGCAUACGCGGACGGCUCAAACCCGUCUGGCCGCAAGGCUGUGAGGGUUCGACUCCCUUCCCGGGUA